rnacentral:tRNA from 13 species
AGAUGGCUCAGUUGGUAGAGCGUAGGACUCGAACUCCAAAGCCUGUUAGUUUGAU